rnacentral:rRNA from 1 species
GGGUUGUGAGGUUAAGCGACUAAGCGUACACGGUGGAUGCCCUGGCAGUCAGAGGCGAUGAAGGACGUGCUAAUCUGCGAUAAGCGUCGGUAAGGUGAUAUGAACCGUUAUAACCGGCGAUUUCCGAAUGGGGAAACCCAGUGUGAUUUGUCACACUAUCAUUAACUGAAUCCAUAGGUUAAUGAGGCGAACCGGGGGAACUGAAACAUCUAAGUACCCCGAGGAAAAGAAAUCAACCGAGAUUCCCCCAGUAGCGGCGAGCGAACGGGGAGGAGCCCAGAGCCUGAAUCAGUGUGUGUGUUAGUGGAAGCGUCUGGAAAGGCGCGCGAUACAGGGUGACAGCCCCGUACACAAAAAUGCACAUAUUGUGAGCUCGAUGAGUAGGGCGGGACACGUGGUAUCCUGUCUGAAUAUGGGGGGACCAUCCUCCAAGGCUAAAUACUCCUGACUGACCGAUAGUGAACCAGUACCGUGAGGGAAAGGCGAAAAGAACCCCGGCGAGGGGAGUGAAAAAGAACCUGAAACCGUGUACGUACAAGCAGUGGGAGCACGCUUCGGCGUGUGACUGCGUACCUUUUGUAUAAUGGGUCAGCGACUUAUAUUCUGUAGCAAGGUUAACCGAAUAGGGGAGCCGAAGGGAAACCGAGUCUUAACUGGGCGUUAAGUUGCAGGGUAUAGACCCGAAACCCGGUGAUCUAGCCAUGGGCAGGUUGAAGGUUGGGUAACACUAACUGGAGGACCGAACCGACUAAUGUUGAAAAAUUAGCGGAUGACUUGUGGCUGGGGGUGAAAGGCCAAUCAAACCGGGAGAUAGCUGGUUCUCCCCGAAAGCUAUUUAGGUAGCGCCUCGUGAAUUCAUCUCCGGGGGUAGAGCACUGUUUCGGCAAGGGGGUCAUCCCGACUUACCAACCCGAUGCAAACUGCGAAUACCGGAGAAUGUUAUCACGGGAGACACACGGCGGGUGCUAACGUCCGUCGUGAAGAGGGAAACAACCCAGACCGCCAGCUAAGGUCCCAAAGUCAUGGUUAAGUGGGAAACGAUGUGGGAAGGCCCAGACAGCCAGGAUGUUGGCUUAGAAGCAGCCAUCAUUUAAAGAAAGCGUAAUAGCUCACUGGUCGAGUCGGCCUGCGCGGAAGAUGUAACGGGGCUAAACCAUGCACCGAAGCUGCGGCAGCGACACUGUGUGUUGUUGGGUAGGGGAGCGUUCUGUAAGCCUGUGAAGGUGUACUGUGAGGUAUGCUGGAGGUAUCAGAAGUGCGAAUGCUGACAUAAGUAACGAUAAAGCGGGUGAAAAGCCCGCUCGCCGGAAGACCAAGGGUUCCUGUCCAACGUUAAUCGGGGCAGGGUGAGUCGACCCCUAAGGCGAGGCCGAAAGGCGUAGUCGAUGGGAAACAGGUUAAUAUUCCUGUACUUGGUGUUACUGCGAAGGGGGGACGGAGAAGGCUAUGUUGGCCGGGCGACGGUUGUCCCGGUUUAAGCGUGUAGGCUGGUUUUCCAGGCAAAUCCGGAAAAUCAAGGCUGAGGCGUGAUGACGAGGCACUACGGUGCUGAAGCAACAAAUGCCCUGCUUCCAGGAAAAGCCUCUAAGCAUCAGGUAACAUCAAAUCGUACCCCAAACCGACACAGGUGGUCAGGUAGAGAAUACCAAGGCGCUUGAGAGAACUCGGGUGAAGGAACUAGGCAAAAUGGUGCCGUAACUUCGGGAGAAGGCACGCUGAUAUGUAGGUGAAGUCCCUCGCGGAUGGAGCUGAAAUCAGUCGAAGAUACCAGCUGGCUGCAACUGUUUAUUAAAAACACAGCACUGUGCAAACACGAAAGUGGACGUAUACGGUGUGACGCCUGCCCGGUGCCGGAAGGUUAAUUGAUGGGGUCAGCGCAAGCGAAGCUCUUGAUCGAAGCCCCGGUAAACGGCGGCCGUAACUAUAACGGUCCUAAGGUAGCGAAAUUCCUUGUCGGGUAAGUUCCGACCUGCACGAAUGGCGUAAUGAUGGCCAGGCUGUCUCCACCCGAGACUCAGUGAAAUUGAACUCGCUGUGAAGAUGCAGUGUACCCGCGGCAAGACGGAAAGACCCCGUGAACCUUUACUAUAGCUUGACACUGAACAUUGAGCCUUGAUGUGUAGGAUAGGUGGGAGGCUUAGAAGUGUGGACGCCAGUCUGCAUGGAGCCGACCUUGAAAUACCACCCUUUAAUGUUUGAUGUUCUAACGUGGACCCGUGAUCCGGGUUGCGGACAGUGUCUGGUGGGUAGUUUGACUGGGGCGGUCUCCUCCUAAAGAGUAACGGAGGAGCACGAAGGUUGGCUAAUCCUGGUCGGACAUCAGGAGGUUAGUGCAAUGGCAUAAGCCAGCUUGACUGCGAGCGUGACGGCGCGAGCAGGUGCGAAAGCAGGUCAUAGUGAUCCGGUGGUUCUGAAUGGAAGGGCCAUCGCUCAACGGAUAAAAGGUACUCCGGGGAUAACAGGCUGAUACCGCCCAAGAGUUCAUAUCGACGGCGGUGUUUGGCACCUCGAUGUCGGCUCAUCACAUCCUGGGGCUGAAGUAGGUCCCAAGGGUAUGGCUGUUCGCCAUUUAAAGUGGUACGCGAGCUGGGUUUAGAACGUCGUGAGACAGUUCGGUCCCUAUCUGCCGUGGGCGCUGGAGAACUGAGGGGGGCUGCUCCUAGUACGAGAGGACCGGAGUGGACGCAUCACUGGUGUUCGGGUUGUCAUGCCAAUGGCACUGCCCGGUAGCUAAAUGCGGAAGAGAUAAGUGCUGAAAGCAUCUAAGCACGAAACUUGCCCCGAGAUGAGUUCUCCCUGACCCUUUAAGGGUCCUGAAGGAACGUUGAAGACGACGACGUUGAUAGGCCGGGUGUGUAAGCGCAGCGAUGCGUUGAGCUAACCGGUACUAAUGAACCGUGAGGCUUAACCUUACAACGCCGAAGCUGUU